AUCCUCGCGGCCGACACAGAAAAAUAAAAGAAAUCUAUCCUUCCGAGCGCCGCACGAGGCGCGAAGCUCAGAGCGGCGAUGGCGGAGGCGGGAGGCGACGGAUUCGAUUUCCCAUCAGAUCCAGUUGACAGAUUUCCCCUUGCCGGAUCUCGCCCGGGCGAAUCCUUGGUACGCAGCGAAGCAAAACAAUCACUGGUAUGCGCGGUCGCUCAAUCCAGCAAUAGUGGUGUGGACGAUGCGGCGGUGACAAGUAGAAUUUGACAGCGGUUCCAAAGGGACCCCCCUGUCGAAUUCAGAGCAUUCAGCAGGCAAAGAUGAUGCACAAGCCCCUGGCUCUGGCUGCACCAACAGUGCUCUGAAUUAUAGUGAACUCUUUAGCUCCUGAGCAUGACGGUCUGGGUUUAGAACAGAAUUGAGUUCAACAAGCCAAAAGCUCUGGAACGCAAACGGAAGGCCGGUUGACUAACAGCAGCAGAGACAAGCCUCCAUAUGAUGAUCACAGUGCAAAGAGCAAAAAAAGGCAAGCCAAAAAGGAGUAACACACGGUCUUGUCGCUGCGAGUGCCCUGCAAUGAUACGGUUGCUGCGGUCGAACGACAACGGCUGGCACAUAAGCGAGCACAGGCCAUCGCACAACAAUUUCUUCGGUUCAACGAGCAAUGCGCCUUUCAGCAAAAGGGCCUUGAGGGGACUGUGUGGGGAAAUCAUCAGAGAUUAGCUUCAGUUUGUUCAACAUAAUAUAUCAUCUUAUGUUAUUUGAGACAAUUAGUACCAUCUAAUGGUGGCUACGCAUGUUCUUCGAUAUUACUGCACCUUGUAGUUGCAUGGUGAUUUGAACAAAAAUGGACUUUCAUGUGCAGAUAUUCCUAAAUAUUACUAAACCUUCUAGUUGUAAGGUGAUUUGAACAAAUGGAUUUUCAGGGCAAGCUUCAGUUGAUUUUCCUAAGCCCAUU